rnacentral:rRNA from 1 species
AUUGAACGCUGGCGGCAGGCCUAACACAUGCAAGUCGAACGAGCGGCGGACGGGUGAGUAAUGUAUGGGGACUGCCCGAUAGAGGGGGAUAACUACUGGAAACGGUGGCUAAUACCGCAUACUAUCGGAUAACCCAUAUGGGAUUAGCUAGUUGGUGGGGUAAAGGCUCACCAAGGCGACGAUCUCUAGCUGGUCUGAGAGGAUGAUCGGCCACACUGGGACUGAGACACGGUCCAGACUCCUACGGAGGCAGCAGUGGGGAAUCUUCGGCAAUGGGCGCAAGUCUGACGGAGCAAUGCCGCGUGUGUGAAGAAGGUUUUCGGAUUGUAAAACACUGUUGUUGGAGAAGCGGUAUCUAACCAGAAAGCCACGGCUAACUACGUGCCAGCAGCCGCGGUAAUAC